rnacentral:piRNA from 1 species
UAAAUAAAAGCACUCCUUGUCUUC